rnacentral:rRNA from 1 species
AACGAACGUUAGCGGCGCGCCUAACACAUGCAAGUCGCACGAGAAAGGGCUUCGGCCCCGGUAAAGUGGCGCACGGGUGAGUAACACGUGGGUAACCUGCCCUCGAGCGGGGGAUAACAUUCCGAAAGGAGUGCUAAUACCGCAUAAGACCACGACCUCGAAAGAGGAUGGGGUAAAAGCUGGCCUCUGUACACAAGCUAGCACUUGAGGAUGGGCCCGCGGCGCAUCAGCUAGUUGGUGGGGUAAUGGCCCACCAAGGCUAAGACGCGUAGCUGGUCUGAGAGGAUGAUCAGCCACACUGGAACUGAGACACGGUCCAGACUCCUACGGGAGGCAGCAGUGGGGAAUCUUGCGCAAUGGGCGAAAGCCUGACGCAGCGACGCCGCGUGAGUGAUGAAGGCCUUCGGGUUGUAAAGCUCUGUGGGGAGAGACGAAUAAGUGCAGCCUAAUACGUUGCAUGAUGGCGGUAUCUCCUUAGCAAGCACCGGCUAACUCUGUGCCAGCAGCCGCCGUAAAAC